GCCUCGAUAGCUCAGUCUGGCCAGAGCGAACGCCUCGUAAGCGUUAGGUCGUGGGUUCGGAUCCCACUCGAGGCU
rnacentral:tRNA from 1 species